CGUAGGUGGCGAGCGUUGUCCGGAAUUACUGGGUGUAAAGGGCGUGUAGGCGGGAGAGCAAGUCAGAUGUGAAAUACCGAAGCUUAACUUCGGGGCUGCAUCUGAAACUGUUUUUCUUGAGUGUCGGAGAGGAAAGUGGAAUUCCCAGUGUAGCGGUGAAAUGCGUAGAUAUUGGGAGGAACACCAGUGGCGAAGGCGACUUUCUGGACGAUAACUGACGCUGAGGCGCGAAAGCGUGGGGAGCAAACAGGAUUAGAUACCCUGGUAGUCCACGCUGUAAACGAUGGAUACUAGGUGUGGGAGGUAUCGACCCCUUCCGUGCCGGAGUUAACACAAUAAGUAUCCCACCUGGGGAGUACGGCCGCAAGGUUG
rnacentral:rRNA from 1 species